GUUAUAGGAUCAAGCGACUAAGUGCAUAUGGUGGAUGCCUUGGCGAUCACAGGCGAUGAAGGACGUAGUAGCCUGCGAAAAGCUGCGGGGAGCUGGCAAACAAGCAUUGAUCCGCAGAUAUCCGAAUGGGGAAACCCACCGCGCAAGCGGUAUCCCUGGCUGAAUACAUAGGCCAGUGGAGGCGAACCGGGUGAACUGAAACAUCUCAGUAGCUCGAGGAAAAGAAAUCAACCGAGAUUCCGAAAGUAGUGGCGAGCGAAAUCGGAAGAGCCUUUACGAUUUAGCAUUUUGCAUAGUCGAACGGAAUGGAAAGUCCGGCCGUAGCAGGUGAUAGCCCUGUAGACGAAAUGCAGAGUGUGGAACUAGGCGUAAGAGAAGUAGGGCGGGACACGUGAAAUCCUGUCUGAAGAUGGGGGGACCAUCCUCCAAGGCUAAAUACUCGUGAUCGACCGAUAGUGAACCAGUACCGUGAGGGAAAGGCGAAAAGAACCCCGGAAGGGGAGUGAAAUAGAUCCUGAAACCGUAUGCAUACAAACAGUCGGAGCCUCUUUAUGGGGUGACGGCGUACCUUUUGUAUAAUGGGUCAGCGACUUACAUUCAGUGGCGAGCUUAACCGAAUAGGGAAGGCGUAGCGAAAGCGAGUCCGAAUAGGGCGUCCAGUCGCUGGGUGUAGACCCGAAACCAGAUGAUCUACCCAUGGCCAGGUUGAAGGCACGGUAACACGUGCUGGAGGACCGAACCCACUAGUGUUGAAAAACUAGGGGAUGAGCUGUGGAUAGGGGUGAAAGGCUAAACAAAUCUGGAAAUAGCUGGUUCUCUCCGAAAACUAUUUAGGUAGUGCCUCAAGUAUUACUGCAGGGGGUAGAGCACUGUUAUGGCUAGGGGGUCAUGGCGACUUACCAAACCAUGGCAAACUCCGAAUACCUGCAAGUACAGCUUGGGAGACAGAGCACCGGGUGCUAACGUCCGGACUCAAGAGGGAAACAACCCAGACCGCCAGCUAAGGUCCCGAAUUAUCGCUAAGUGGGAAACGAAGUGGGAAGGCAUAGACAGUCAGGAGGUUGGCUUAGAAGCAGCCACCCUUUAAAGAAAGCGUAAUAGCUCACUGAUCGAGUCGUCCUGCGCGGAAGAUGUAACGGGGCUAAGCGAUAAACCGAAGCUGCGGGUGUGCACUUUUAGUGCGCGCGGUAGGAGAGCGUUCUGUAAGCCUGCGAAGGUGGCUUGUAAAGGCUGCUGGAGGUAUCAGAAGUGCGAAUGCUGACAUGAGUAGCGAUAAAGGGGGUGAAAAGCCCCCUCGCCGUAAGUCCAAGGUUUCCUGCGCAACGUUCAUCGGCGCAGGGUGAGUCGGCCCCUAAGGCGAGGCAGAGAUGCGUAGCUGAUGGGAAGCUGGUUAAUAUUCCAGCACCGUCGUACAGUGCGAUGGGGGACGGAUCGCGGAAGGUCAUCAGGGUGUUGGACGUCCCUGUUGCUGCAUUGAAGAUGGCGCUUAGGCAAAUCCGGGCGCGAGAAUCAAGGGUGUGGCACGAGCGAGCAAGUCUCGCGAAGUGAUUGGAAGUGGUUCCAAGAAAAGCCUCUAAGCUUCAGCUGUACGAGACCGUACCGCAAACCGACACAGGUGGACGGGAUGAAUAUUCCAAGGCGCUUGAGAGAACUCAGGAGAAGGAACUCGGCAAAUUGAUACCGUAACUUCGGGAGAAGGUAUACCCUGGUAGUGUGAAGCGCCUGCGCGCUGAGCAUGAAGGGGUCGCAGAGAAUCGGUGGCUGCGACUGUUUAUUAAAAACACAGCACUCUGCAAAGACGAAAGUCGACGUAUAGGGUGUGACGCCUGCCCGGUGCCGGAAGGUUAAGUGAUGGGGUGCAAGCUCUUGAUCGAAGCCCC
rnacentral:rRNA from 1 species